GAAAGAAAGAAAAUACUUGAAAAGAAUCGCUGGAACCCAGGAGGCAGAGGUUGCAAGGAGCCAAGGUCGUGCCAUGGCACUCCAGCCUGGGUGACAGAGCAAGACUCUGUCUCCAAAAUAAAUAAAUAAAUAAAAAGCAAUCCUCCCAUCUCAGUCCCCUCCCGAAUAGGUGGGACCACAGGUGCAUACCACUACACCCAGCUAAUUUUAGUAUUUUUUGUAGAGAUGGGGUUUUGCCAUGAAGCCCAGGCUGGUUUUGAACCCCUGAGCUCAAGCGAUCCGCCCACCUUGGCCUCCCGAAGUGCUGGCAUUACAGGCUUAAAAAUAGAGACAGGGUCUUGCUGUGUUGCAAAGGCUGGUCUAGAACUUCUGAGUUCAAGCAAUCCUCCCACCCCAGCCUCCUGAUUACAGGCCUGCACCGCCACUACACCUAGCCAGUAACAACAAUUUACAUAGUAUUUACAUGGGACUAGCUAUGAUAUGCAAUCUAGACACGAUUUAAAAUAUAGGGGUGGGCUGGGCACUGUGGCUUACGUCUGUAAUCCCAGCACUUUGGGAGGCCGAGGCUGGCGGACCGCCUAAGGUCAGAAGUUCGAGACCAGCCUGGCCAAUGUCGUGAAACCCCGUCCCUACUAAAAAUAUAAAAAUUAGCUGGGCGUAGUGGCUCACGCCUAUAAUCCCAGACACUCAGGAGGCUGAGGCAUGAGAAUCUCUUGAACCCGGGAAGCAGAGGUUGUAGUAAGCUGAGAUCAUGCCACUGCACCAGCCUGGGCGACAGA
rnacentral:lncRNA from 10 species